AGUGAACGCUGGCGGUAGGCCUAACACAUGCCAGUCGAACGGCAGCACAGUAAGGGCUUGCUCUUACGGGUGGCGAGUGGCGGACGGGUGAGGAAUACAUCGGAAUCUACUUUUUCGUGGGGGAUAACGUAGGGAAACUUACGCUAAUACCGCAUACGACCUACGGGUGGAAGCAGGGGAUCUUCGGACCUUGCGCGAUUGAAUGAGCCGAUGUCGGAUUAGCUAGUUGGCGGGGUAAAGGCCCACCAAGGCGACGAUCCGUAGCUGGUCUGAGAGGAUGAUCAGCCACACUGGAACUGAGACACGGUCCAGACUCCUACGGGAGGCAGCAGUGGGGAAUAUUGGACAAUGGGCGCAAGCCUGAUCCAGCCAUACCGCGUGGGUGAAGAAGGCCUUCGGGUUGUAAAGCCCUUUUGUUGGGAAAGAAAAGCAGCAGGUUAAUACCCCGCUGUUCUGACGGUACCCAAAGAAUAAGCACCGGCUAACUUCGUG
rnacentral:rRNA from 1 species